rnacentral:rRNA from 1 species
UGCGAGUCGUGAGGGUUCGGCCCUCGGCGAACGGCUCAGUAACACGUAUUAUAAUUUGCCCUUAGGUGGAGGAUACCCUCGGGAAACUGAGAAUAAUACUCCAUAGAUUUAGAAUGCUGGAAUGCUUUUAAAUUGAAAGAUUUAUCGCCUAAGGAUAAGUCUGCGGACUAUCAGGUCGUAGUUAGGGUAAAUACCUGACUAGCCUACGACGGAUACGGGUUGUGAGAGCACUAGCCCGGAGAUGAUAUCUGAGACACGAUAUCAGGCCCUACGGGGCGCAGCAGGCGCGAAAACUUCGCACUGUGCGAAAGCACGACGAGGGAAUCCCAAGUGCUGGCUCGUAAGAGUCAGCUGUUUCUUUGUCUAAAAAACAGAGAGAGUAAGAGCUGGGUAAGACGGGUGCCAGCCGCCGCGGUAAUACCUGCAGCUCAAGUGGUGGCCGCUAUUAUUGGGCCUAAAACGUCCGUAGCCGGUUCUAUAAACGCCUGGGUAAAUCGUACGGCUUAACCGUACGAAUUCCGGGUAGACUGUUCAACUUGGGACCGGGAGAGGCUAGGGGUACUCCUGGGGUAGAGGUGAAAUUCUGUAAUCCUAGGGGGACCACCAGUGGCGAAGGCGUCUAGCUAGAACGGGUCUGACGGUGAGGGACGAAGCCCUGGGGAGCAAACGGGAUUAGAUACCCCGGUAGUCCAGGGUGUAAACGCUGCUCGCUUGAUGUUAGUCGGGCUCCGAGCCCAACUAGUGUCGGAGAGAAGUUGUUAAGCGAGCUGCCUGGGAAGUACGGUCGCAAGACUGAAACUUAAAGGAAUUGGCGGGGGAGCACCGCAACGGGUGGAGCGUGCGGUUUAAUUGGAUUCAACGCCGGGAAUCCCGCGGCCAU